rnacentral:rRNA from 1 species
ACUCUGAUCCAGCCAUGCCGCGUGUAGGAAGAKUGCCCUAUGGGUUGUAAACUUGCUUUUAUACAGGAAGAAACACUSGUAUGUAUACCAGCUUGACGGUACUGUAAGAAUAAGGACCGGCUAACUCCGUGCCAGCAGCCGCGGUAAUACGGAGGGUCCGAGCGUUAUCCGGAAUCAUUGGGUUUAAAGGGUCCGCAGGCGGUCUAUUAAGUCAGAGGUGAAAUCCCAUAGCUCAACUAUGGAACUGCCUUUGAUACUGGUUGACUUGAGUCAUAUGGAAGUGGAUAGAAUGUGUAGUGUAGCGGUGAAAUGCAUAGAUAUUACACAGAAUACCGAUUGCGAAGGCAGUCCACUACGUAUGUACUGACGCUGAGGGACGAAAGCGUGGGGAGCGAACAGGAUUAGAUACCCUGGUAGUCCACGCCGUAAACGAUGGAUACUAGUUGUUGGGAUUUAUCUCAGUGACUAAGCGAMAGUGAUAAGUAUCCCACCUGGGGAGUACGGUCGCAAGACUGAAACUCAAAUGAAUUGAC